AGUGAACGCUGGCGGUAGGCCUAACACAUGCAAGUCGAACGGCAGCACAUGAGAGCUUGCUCUCUAGGUGGCGAGUGGCGGACGGGUGAGGAAUACAUCGGAAUCUGCCCAGUCGUGGGGGAUAACGUAGGGAAACUUACGCUAAUACCGCAUACGACCUUCGGGUGAAAGAGGGGGAUCGCAAGACCUCUCGCGAUUGGAUGAGCCGAUGUCGGAUUAGCUAGUUAGCGGGGUAAUGGCCCACCAAGGCGACGAUCCGUAGCUGGUCUGAGAGGAUGAUCAGCCACACUGGAACUGAGACACGGUCCAGACUCCUACGGGAGGCAGCAGUGGGGAAUAUUGGACAAUGGGCGCAAGCCUGAUCCAGCCAUACCGCGUGGGUGAAGAAGGCCUUCGGGUUGUAAAGCCCUUUUGUUGGGAAAGAAAUCUUUCAGGCUAAUACCCUGGGAGGAUGACGGUACCCAAAGAAUAAGCACCGGCUAACUUCGUG
rnacentral:rRNA from 1 species